rnacentral:tRNA from 1 species
GGAGUUGUGGCUCAGCAGUAGAGCACUUGCCUUACACAUAUGAGGCCCUGUGUUCAAUCCUCAGCAUCACAU